rnacentral:misc_RNA from 1 species
UUGGUUUUGAGUGAUCAAAGGUAUUGUAUAAUAUGCAUUUCCAAUGCUACAAUCACCAGUCUUGAACCAUAUAAGUGUAAUAAACUUAAUAUUUGCUUACAAGAAAACCAUGCCUUGAAUCCACCAAGUGUUGCACGAACAAGAUCAAAAGCAAGAACAACAAACUCCAUAUGAUACAAUACCUUUGAUCACUCAAAACCAACAAAUUUUAUACGUGUUUUAGACCAAGGAUACUCAGUACGACUUCUGGUGCAAAAAAAAAUGACCACCACAUAUCUCUCAGACUAGUGCUUGAAACUCCCCAAAAACCACUUCUCAGCGAACAGCAAUUGCAGGUCAUCACAUAGAAUUAGCAUAAACCACAAGAUGAUAUCUCAGUAAAAAUGGGGGAACAAAAAAAACAGCUACUAAGAUUAGGACCUAACUAUCCAAAAUUGGCUGGCAUGAUAGCCUCUUAAUUUCCUUAAUUAUCAGUUCCUUUUCCUCUUCAAAUUGCUCAUCCUCAGAACCUUUUCCAAUGGAAAGAUUAUCAAGUAGUUCCACCAGUCUUUCAUUGUUUUUUGCCAAAAUUACUUUUACUUCUCGUGGCUUGUUGGGAUUGGCAACAAAAACCUUGAAAAUGUGGAAAGCAGAGAUCUGAAUGUUUUUGCUCGAGUCCUUCAGCAAUGUCAUCAUGACUUUUAAGUACCGAACUUCUAAAACAUAGCGCUUCAUUAUAUGGGAAUUUGGAGCCUCCAAANNNAAAAGGAAUUCCGAGAGAAGCUUCAAUGAUUGCCUUCUUGUCACAUAAUUAGGAGAUGUCAAUAGUUUUUCAUACAGAUCAAAGAACUCGUCAUAGUGUGCAGUGAGAUAUUCAGCAACCACAGUGCCAUGUUUAGUAAGCAAAUCCUUGAAAGUAGAGAAAGCAUCAGAAGCAACAUCAAAAUUUGGCAACNUUGGCAACUCCACAAAUUUGAAGAACAAUUCAAAGCUUGCAGACUCUAAUAUGUAUUUUGCAAGGGUUGGAAAUUUGAUGCACUCCCUUAACAUAAGUCCACAGUUCAAGGCAAUUUCCUUGUUAUCAUAACACACGACAAGAAAGUCUAAUAAUUCAAAAUGGUUCUCUAUAUAUUCUACAG